AUGGCUUCCUGCUUCCGGGCGCGUCGGCACCCGGCAGCGCCAGUACCGCCGCCGCUGAUUCCGUACGAGUCGUCGUACUCGGAGAUGGAGGGAGCGAUGGAGAAUAAGAGGUGGAACAGCCUCGACUCGUGGUCGAUGCUGCUUGACGCGGGAGGCGGCGCGGACCAGCAGCAGGCGAGCUCGUCGGCGGGGGAGGAGUGGAUGGCGGACAUGUCGCAGCUCUUCCUCGGGAACAAGUUCGCAUCGGGGUCCAACAGCCGCAUCUAUCGCGGCAUCUACCGACAGCGCGCGGUGGCCGUCAAGAUGGUGCGCCUCCCGGAGCGCGACGAGGACCGGCGGCGCGCGCUGGAGGACCAGUUCAACUCGGAGGUGACCUUCCUCUCGCGGCUCCGCCACCCCAACGUGGUGCAGUUCGUCGCCGCCUGCAAGCGCCCGCCCGUGUACUGCAUCAUCACCGAGUACAUGUCGCAGGGCACGCUCCGCAUGUACCUCCACAACAAGGACCCCUACUCGCUCUCGCCGGAGACCGUGCUCCGCCUCGCGCUCGACGUCGCCCGCGGCAUGGAGUACCUCCACGCGCAGGGCGUCAUCCACCGCGACCUCAAGUCGCACAACCUGCUGCUCAACGACGAGAUGCGCGUUAAGGUCGCCGACUUCGGCACCUCAUGCCUAGAGGCGCACAGCUCACGCGCCGGCGCCGGAGCGGGACCGGGAGCCGGAGGCGGUGGCGGCGGCGGCGGCGAAGGGAAGGGUACCAACAUGGGCACGUACAGGUGGAUGGCGCCCGAGAUGGUCCGUGACAAGCCGUGCACCCGCAAGGUGGAUGUGUACAGCUUCGGCAUCGUGCUGUGGGAGCUCACCACCUGUCUCGUGCCGUUCCAGGGCAUGACCCCCGUCCAGGCCGCCUACGCCGCCUGCGAGAAGAACGCUCGGCCGCCGUUGUCGCCGACGUGCCCGCCGGCGCUCAACAACCUCAUCAAGAUGUGCUGGGCCGCCAACCCGGCCAGGCGUCCUGAGUUUAGCUACGUCGUGUCCGUGCUGGAGAACUACGAUCACUGCCUCCGGGAAGGGCUCCCGCUGGUUACGCCGCCGUCGCCAGUGUCCUCGUUUCUCAGCAUCUUCAAGCUCGGCUCCUGCAUAAGCACCACCAACCUCCCCUCCAUGCCCGUCCACGUCUAA
rnacentral:rRNA from 1 species